UACGUAGGGGGCAAGCGUUGUCCGGAAUCAUUGGGCGUAAAGAGCGUGUAGGCGGCCCGAUAAGUCCGCUGUGAAAGUCCAGGGCUCAACCCUGGGAUGCCGGUGGAUACUGUCGGGCUCGAGUCCGGAAGAGGAGUGUGGAAUUCCUGGUGUAGCGGUGAAAUGCGUAGAGAUCGGCAGGAACACCAGUGGCGAAGGCGACUGCCUGGGGAGUAACUGACGCUGAGGCGCGAAAGCUGGGGGAGUAAACGGG
rnacentral:rRNA from 1 species